rnacentral:rRNA from 1 species
AUUGAACGCUGGCGGCAGGCCUAACACAUGCAAGUCGAGCGGAUGAAGGGAGCUUGCUCCUGGAUUCAGCGGCGGACGGGUGAGUAAUGCCUAGGAAUCUGCCUGGUAGUGGGGGAUAACGUCCGGAAACGGGCGCUAAUACCGCAUACGUCCUGAGGGAGAAAGUGGGGGAUCUUCGGACCUCACGCUAUCAGAUGAGCCUAGGUCGGAUUAGCUAGUUGGUGGGGUAAAGGCCUACCAAGGCGACGAUCCGUAACUGGUCUGAGAGGAUGAUCAGUCACACUGGAAAUGAGAAACGGUCCAGACUCCUACGGGAGGCAGCAGGGGGGAAUAUUGGACAAUGGGCGAAAGCCUGAUCCAGCCAAGCCGCGUGUGUGAAGAAGGUCUUCGGAUUGUAAAGCACUUUAAGUUGGGAGGAAGGGCAGUAAGUUAAUACCUUGCUGUUUUGACGUUACCAACAGAAUAAGCACCGGCUAACUUCGUG